rnacentral:rRNA from 1 species
GUCCUCUUGAUAAUAUUAUGAGGUCCGGCCUGCUCACUGACGAGGUUUAAUUAAAGAGCCGCGGUAAUUUGACCGUGCAAAGGUAGCAUAAUCAUUAGUCUCUUAAUUAGGGGCUGGAAUGAAUGGCUUGACGAGAAAUCAACUGUCUCUUGAUAAAUUUUUGAAUUUAACUUUUGAGUCAAAAGGCUUAAAUUUUUCUUAAGGACGAGAAGACCCUAUAGAGCUUGACAUUUUAUUUAUAUAUAAUUUUUAGUUAGUCUUUUUAUAUUUAUUGAUGAUGUUUUGUUGGGGUGACAUGAAAAAUAAUUAAACUCUUCAUUAUUAAAUCAUUGAUUUAUGUAUAAAUGAUGAUCCAUAAUUUAUGAUCAUAAGAUUAAGUUACCUUAGGGAUAACAGCGUAAUUAUUUUCGAGAGCUCAUAUCGACAAAUUAGAUUUCGCACCUCGAUGUUGGAUUAAGAAAAAUUUUGGGUGCAGGAGCCCAGUGAUUAGGUCUGUUCGACCUUUAAAUUCUU